UUUUUUUUGAACGAUUAAACUGAGUAUAAUUUCAUUAUGAUGGUUGUGGAAUUACUGGCAACACAGCAUUCGUAAAGCCGGCCCUGAAUUGCUGAGGCAGUGCUAUGAAUUAUGAUAGUGUGAUUUGGAUAUAAUAUUCUAAUGAAAGAUGCUCCAGUGCUCUCAGAGCACCAUAAGUUAUAGUGCCUCAAGUUGCAUUCAAACAGUCUAAUCCAUUGAUCCAGAUUUUCCAAUAGGUCCAAACACAUUUCGUUGGCUACCAUGAAGACAUCACACCAUUACCAUUUGAUCAAUGGCCUUUAAUAUAAUCACCACCACCACCACCAUCACCACCAUCUAAGCCUUAUCCCAAUUAAUUGGGGUCAAUCACAUGAGUUCUGUUCCCAUGGUAUUCUGCAACAGUAAAGGUGGUGGUAACGGCCACCAGCAUUACCGUUACAAUACGGGCUAUAAUUAUAAUGACAGUUACAAUCUCUGUAACGGCUGUUGCAUUUUUUAUUAUU